CUUGCUCACGGCAGAAAGCCCAAUUCCAUCUGGCCCCUGCAGGUUGGCUCAGCACUGGGGAAUCAGAGUCCCCUCCAUGACCAAGGCACCACUCCACUGACAGACUCUGUUAAUCAGCUUGCUUGGCUGGCCUCCAACCAUAGGUCCAGGGGCUGAGACAAGGUCCUUUUGAGCUCCUAUGUGGGAGGCUCUGGAAAGCUUAGCAACACUUUCCAACAACUUUGCCAGGUAAGUAGGGUCACAUCUCCCAGGAAGAUCUCACUUCCCCACAGAAGCUCUUGGCCUGGCCUCCUGCAGUGCCACGCUCCGUGUAUUUGACAAGCUGAGUUGGACACUCCAUGUGGUAGAGUGUCAGUUUGUCAAAUACCCCAAGUGCGGCACAUGCUUACCAGCUCUAGGCCAGGGCAGAUGGGAUAUGACGAAUGGACUGCCAGCUGGAUACAAGGAUGCUCACCAAGCACCAAGUUCUCACAAGUUAUUUUAUGUGACUUUGCAGGAACUGAGGCAUUAUAUCUGAGGACACCAGGGGAAAAGUGUGGCAUCUCAGGGAAAUACAGCCCUGGGCUGUGUCUACACACACCAUGAGAGUGCUGAUGGGGGCGCAAUAGUCUUGAAAAUGUAUAAAGUGUCCAGGAAUGGAAGUGCUCUUUGAUUCAUUAUUAUUUUCUUCCUUCAUAUUCCCCUCCCAGAGUCUCCUAUCUAGGACAUCAGCAUUCUCACACAAGCCUAAUGGCUUAUCUGAGUAAGCAGGGCUUAGAAAUUCACUUUCUUGAUACUCAGUCUUGCCUUCUAAACACUCCUUGAUCUUGCCUACCUCUCCCCUUUUCCACAUGUCUUUUCCUGUAGGAACACUUUCUCCAUUUAUUCCUGCCUAUCCAAUUCUUCCCUAUAUUUCCUGGACCAGCUAAAGUCCAGUGUUUCCAGAGACUUUUGAAAGUCAACUUACACUUUUUCCUUCUUCAUUCACAAAGCUCUUCUUCCCUGGGCCCUGGUAUGUAUGCCUUUCUCUCCUACUGUCUAAUAGCACCUCGUAAAUUGUCAAUGAACUUUUCUAAGGGGUAUUCUUGAAUUCCCAACUAGAUUGUGAGCUUCUGGAAGACAAGGCUAUGUCUUUGAUUGUUGUCUCCCCUACCACAGCCCAGUACUUUAGUUACAGAAAAUAAUAAAUAUUUACUGAUUGAUUGACUUUCCUCUUGUCCACUAGCUUUAGGUUUGGGGGCCAAAUUCUACCCUGGAUUUUGAAAAAUUCAAACUGUGAACACCACAAUGUUAUAGAGCAUAUGAGGUAGUAGCCAGCAUGAAGGAUGUUUUCUUCCUGAGAAACAGUGUCAAGGGCUGGAGGAAGAGGGCAAAAUAGCAGACUCAGAGGGCAAAUAAAUUUUGGUAUUACUUGGUCACACAAGGUUAUACAGGUGUUUUCUUGUAGGAUUUUUCAGAGCCUUUAAUAGUCUAAUGUUGCAUUGAGAAUCUCAAAGAGGAAACCAUAGAAUGAGGCAUUUGCCAUACCUAUCUGAUCAUGAAUUUUCUUUUCCCCCACAGCCUUCUCCUGUGUCAAUGUCCAAUGAAGCACGAUUUGGGAAACUGUCCUAGAGAAACUUUAUACCUUCCCGCUCUUCUGGAGAUCUUUUCCUCUUUUCAUUCAUCUACUUUCCCCAACCAGCCAUCUGCCUAAGAAAGGUCACAUGUUAUCAUCUCAUUUUUGUUUAGCCUCUGCAGCUGUGGACUAUCUUUAUUACAUAGGAAUUCUUUACUAGCUUGUCCUGUAUUUAAAAAUAUUCUAAGUUUUGAGGCAAAGAAGAUCCAGAUGCUGCAAUAAAUAUAUGCACUGAGGAGUUCACAGGCCUGACUUUUGGUCUCCUUUCUACCACUAACUGUGUUUUUGUUCCUCUCUGAGCUUCAUUUUCUCAUCUCCAAUACGGAAGUAUUAGAAUCAGUGAUCUCUAGGCUCUUUAAGAUUAAUGACUUUGAGAUAUCCCUGGGAGUCCUUAGCUCUUAUGGAGCAGCGUCCCUGGAUGUGUGGCUCCUUUUACCAGUGAAAAUGCAACCAGGAUUCUCUUCCCAACACCUAAAACUCACUUUUUCUAUGGGUAGUAGGGAAAGAUAAUGGGUAUUUUCAAAGGCUGUAGGGUCUGGACGCAGAGUUGUUUCAUGAAGGAAGUUGGGGUUUCCACUGGGUGGAGGCCCUAUUUCAGAGGCUUGUAAGCACGAUGGGGAAGAAAGAGUUGUUCCUUUCGCCAACUAGGAGAAGCUAGCGUCUGGAAUGAGGAAAAUGUUGAGGUUUUUACCCUGGAUUUGGCAUGUUGGGUGGCGGUGAAGUGGAGGACUCCUUUUUGUUACUUUCGUGUACUAUUUUGACUUCUGUAAUCAUUGCAAAAGGGGAGCAGCUCCUUGUGAAACAUGAGCUGACCUAGGGGCUGCAUGGGAACCAGAAAUAGCAACAUGGCAGCUUCCUUGAAGAGUGCAGAAGUUGAUUUGACAUUAAUUACAUCGAGAAAAUAAAACUGUGUCAACCUGGGUCAGAACAGGUCCUCACAGCGGAGCCUGAUUUAAAGGUGUAGGAACUUAUGUACA
rnacentral:lncRNA from 1 species